UCCCGUCUCGCUACGUACCUAUAUUAUACCAUUAUAUUAUGAGUCAAGCUUUUAAUGCAUGUGUUGUGUUUUAUGAUCGCCCGUUUGUCAUAAUUUCUUAUUGUAAUAUUGUAUUUCCAUCAAGUGGUCGAUCAUUUGCGUGUGUCAUCGUUGCUUCAUUUGAUGUUUGUUUAUCUAAGCAAACUCACUUUUCCUUCUCCAUCGGGGUUCACUAAUCCUUGCCCCUAGCA
rnacentral:lncRNA from 1 species